rnacentral:rRNA from 1 species
GUGCCAGCAGCCGCGGUAAGACAGAGGGUGCAAACGUUGCUCGGAAUUACUGGGCGUAAAGCGCGUGUAGGCGGGCCGACAAGUCAGAUGUGAAAUCCCUGAGCUCAACUCAGGAACUGCAUUUGAAACUGUCGGCCUUGAGUGGUGGAGAGGGAAGCGGAAUUCCUGGUGUAGAGGUGAAAUUCGUAGAUAUCAGGAGGAACACCGGUGGCGAAGGCGACUUCCUGGACACCAACUGACGCUGAGACGCGAAAGCGUGGGGAGCAAACAGGAUUAGAUACCCUCGUAGUCC